GAUGAACGCUGGCGGCGUGCCUAAUACAUGCGAGUCGAGCGAACAGACGAGGAGCUUGCUCCUCUGACGUUAGCGGUGGACGGGUGAGUAACACGUGGAUAACCUACCUAUAAGACUGGGAUAACUUCGGGAAACCGGAGCUAAUACCGGAUAACAUGUUGAACCGCAUGGUUCAACAGUGAAAGACGGUCUUGCUGUCACUUAUAGAUGGAUCCGCGCCGCAUUAGCUAGUUGGUAAGGUAACGGCUUACCAAGGCAACGAUGCGUAGCCGACCUGAGAGGGUGAUCGGCCACACUGGAACUGAGACACGGUCCAGACUCCUACGGGAGGCAGCAGUAGGGAAUCUUCCGCAAUGGGCGAAAGCCUGACGGAGCAACGCCGCGUGAGUGAAGAAGGUCUUCGGAUCGUAAAACUCUGUUAUUAGGGAAGAACAAAUGUGUAAGUAACUAUGCACGUCUUGACGGUACCUAAUCAGAAAGCCACGGCUAACUACGUG
rnacentral:rRNA from 1 species